rnacentral:rRNA from 1 species
UACCAGCACCCCGAGUGGUCGGGACGAUUAUUGGGCCUAAAGCAUCCGUAGCCGGUUUUACAAGUCCCCCGUUAAAUCCAGCUGCUUAACAGAUGGGCUGCGGAGGAUACUAUAGAGCUAGGAGGCGGGAGAGGCAAGCGGUACUCGAUGGGUAGGGGUAAAAUCCGUUGAUCCAUUGAAGACCACCAGUGGCGAAGGCGGCUUGCCAGAACGCGCUCGACGGUGAGGGAUGAAAGCUGGGGGAGCAAACCGG